AUACAUGCUCAUAAUAUGAUUUAAGAUACCUACAACAUCAUACAUAUCUAAAAAUAUUAUACAGUUUUCUUAUUAUUUAAUUACAUACGAAAAAACGAUUCGCCAAAGCAUACGUUAUACAUCGAAAUGUAUUUCAAACACACACACACACGAUAACAGUAUCCCAUAUAGCAUACAACCACCUGCCAGCCACCCAGGCCUUUGUUCAUUAAAUUACAUACAGACUCAUACACACACACACACAAACUCACACAUAGUCUCAAUUAUAAAACAUUCCAAUCCAAUAGAGUACAAACCUUUUCACCCCGCAACCCGUCCUCACACCCUAACAACAUCAUCCGACUACAGACCUGUACAAGCCUGUAGUGAUACGUCCGACUGUCCAAGUAUUGUCGAUGAAUUCCAGCCAUAAAGUAUAGUGCAUAGUGCAAAAUUAAAUCAGUCUGUUAACUACCGUUCAAGUCGUGUUAUUUCAGAGUUCUUACGGGGUUUUAAAGUGUAUACAAAUAUUUUACAAGUAUUAUAAAAUUAAGUUAUUUAUUUUACUUUAAUGAACAUCGUAGUUCAUUUUUCUACCACUAGUUCUGAUAUUAGCGCAUACGUUAAUAAUUUGCUUAGAUAAAACUAUUUCACACUGUUAUUUAAAGUACAAUAUAUUUUUCUAUAAUUCAUCACCCAUCUAUUCGUUGAAGGGUAAAGUCUUGUUUCGCGAGUUCGACUAGUGUUCAUCAGUUUUCAUCAGACGUAAUCAUGUUCUCGUGUAAUAUAUGUGAUAAAACCUUUACAAUGAUUAAAAAUCUACACAGACAUGCCAAGUCACACGAUGUAUCCAAUAAGAUUUCAUGCAGUAUAUGCUCAGAAAUAUUUAUGCGAAAAGAUAACCUCAUCAGGCAUAGCAAGGAUAAACAUCCUUCAAAUAUUGUAGUUCAACAACAACCAACCAUAACCAAGCAAGAAAUUCAAGAUUUUUUUACACCAGCUGAACACAUUUACGAUUAUAAUGUUCAAUCUCACAAUGGUCAUAAGCGCCCAUAUCAUACGGAAAAUUCGAAUGAAGCAGCAAAUGCUAAAAAGACACGCAUGAGCAUCGUCAAGACUCGAGGAUUCAUCAAGACAGGCACAUCGUUAUCGAAUAAAAUCAAUUGGUAUUACGUGAAAAAUACAGAUAACUUGACCAACUACAGAACAUUUUUAGAAUCAUAGAAUUAUUUUUUCAAGUACCUAUCUAAUUAAUAACAAUACUAUUUUCAGCUUCAAAUAUUGUAGUUCAACAACAACCAACCAUAACCAAGCAAGAAAUUCAAGAUUUUUUUACACCAGCUAAACACAUUUACGAUUAUAAUGGUAAAUAUAUUAUUCAUAACUUUAUAUGUACAUAUAUAUAUAUAACUUACUUAGGUAAUUAUGGAUAAUAUAUUAGGUACUUUAUAGAAAAUAGAACACUUCAUGUAGAAAUAUUACUUUAUCGAUGAAUUAAAAUAAAUGUUGCUUUAUAACCUUUCAAAAUAUUUAAAAUAAAAAAUGCUAUUAGGUUUUUUUUUUCAAAAUCGCAUAAAACAAUACCUGUAAAAAAGAAAGGUUACUUCAUCUUCACCAUGUGAAGAUGUAGUCAUGAUGGAUCAUGACCUUUCUUUUUUUUUUGAACCUACAGGAAACUAACUUAACCUAACCUACACAAAACUAACUUAAUCCUUGUGGAUGGUGAGGGGGGGAUAUAGUCGUGCACGUUUGUGAGUGGUUGUGUUGAUGUAUUGUAUGAUCUUAAAUGUAGCUCGAGAUAAACAAAAAUCGUGUGAAUUCGCCAUACUCAGUUAUAUUGAAUAUAUUAUCUAUCGAUGAUUCUGAAUGACUUUAUAAAUUUAAAUAAAAAACAAUUUUAACUGUGCAUAUUAGACUGCUUAUGUUGUGCGAGAUAUUUAUUUUUGCUUAUAUUUCGAAUUUUGUUAGCUAUGUUUAAAAUAUUUGUAUUAGAGCAGAUUAUUUUACAUAUUUAUAAAUAUAUUUAAUCAAGUCAAAUUAUUUAUGUACAUUUGAUAACAAUAUAGCUAAUAUAUGUUCAUUUGUCAAUGAAUUUAAGAUAUUUUCAUGCAAAUUUGACAAAAUUAUUGUUGAUUAUAGAUGUUUUUAUUAAAAUAAUAAUGAUAUUUUUACAUAUUUUUAAUGAAUUUAUGAAAUUUAAGUACCCGUGUUUUCAUUAAUAUUAUUUUUACUAUCGAAUCAUACUAUAAAACUUAUAUUCAAUUAACUCAGGCUGUUUUAUUUUUAACAAAUCUAUAGCUGUAACUAUGAACAAGACACAUCUCAGCAUUCCAUGGUGAGUUAAUGUUGAUACAAACACCAACAUUUAGCAUUAAAUAAUAUGAAGCCAUGAUAGUAUACUUAUAUUGUUCUAGCAUACAUGUACCUUUACAAUGUAUGUUCAGAUGUAAAGAAUUAUACAUGCGAGAAAAGGAAAUAAUAUAUCAAAAAUAAUAAAAAGAUUUGAAUUAUGAUAAGUGACUUUAUUACAAAAAAAAACAAUUUAAUAUAUAUAUAGAGAUAUUUUACAAAAUAAAAAACAAAACACAAUAAUAUCUACACAGCUAUUUUACAAAAAUAAUAAACUAAUUAAUAUUUACAGAGAUAUUUCACAAAAUAAAAAUUAAAUUAACCUAAACAUUUAUAAAAUUAAAUAUAAUUUACAAAUAUAUAUGUAUGUUUAUAGUUUUUUUUUUUUUAAAAUACAAUUAACAAUCGAGUUUAAAAUGUCCAUGAGCGUAGGUAUGUAUUCUAUCGGUCUUUGCUAUCCGCUUAUCAUCUUGUCGUUUGAAGCAUAAUUUUUUGGAUUUGAUUGUUCGUAUCUUA